rnacentral:rRNA from 1 species
UACGCAGGGUGCGAGCGUUGUCCGGAAUUAUUGGGCGUAAAGAGCUCGUAGGCGGUGUGUCACGUCGGCCGUGAAAACCUGCAGCUUAACUGUGGGCGUGCGGUCGAUACGGGCAUCACUGGAGUUCGGCAGGGGAGACUGGAAUUCCUGGUGUAGCGGUGAAAUGCGCAGAUAUCAGGAGGAACACCGGUGGCGAAGGCGGGUCUCUGGGCCGAUACUGACGCUGAGGAGCGAAAGCGUGGGGAGCAAACAGG